rnacentral:rRNA from 1 species
AUUGAACGCUGGCGGCAGGCCUAACACAUGCAAGUCGAGCGGAUGAAGGGAGCUUGCUCCUGGAUUCAGCGGCGGACGGGGGAGUAAUGCCUAGGAAUCUGCCUGGUAGUGGGGGAUAACGUCCGGAAACGGGCGCUAAUACCGCAUACGUCCUGAGGGAGAAAGUGGGGGAUCUUCGGACCUCACGCUAUCAGAUGAGCCUAGGUCGGAUUAGCUAGUUGGUGGGGUAAAGGCCUACCAAGCCGACGAUCCGUAACUGGUCUGAGAGGAUGAUCAGUCACACGGGAAGUGAGACACGGUCCAGAGUACUGAGGGAGGCAGCAGUGGGGAAUGUUGGGCAGUGGGCGGAAGCAUGAUACAGCGAGGCCGCGUGUGUGAAGAAGGUGUUCGGUUUGGAAAGCACUUUAAGUUGGGAUGAAGGGCAGUAAGUUAAUACCUUGCUGUUUUGACGUUACCAGCAGAAUAAGCGCCGGCUAACUUCGUG